GUGUAUUUUAUAUUGCCAUCAAGGCCUUACUUAAGACCUGAAGUACAAUUUUUGGAGACCCUGUCCUUUAUUGGGCAGGGUG
rnacentral:snRNA from 1 species